GUUUCAGCUGUACUAUCAAAAGCAGCAAAUCAAGGGCAGGGACCACAGCUUGACCUUAAACUAUUCAACUGCACUUAAUUACCCAUUGUAGUGGAAGCACAUAAAUACAGGAUGUCCCCUCACUCUGCCAUUCUGCUUUGCAUCAUUAUCAAAAAGACAAAGGUGAAAGAUCAUUGAUAAGAAUCUGGCAUGGAGAACAGUCAAGGAAGCAUUGCAGCUCAAUACAAAACGGUGGCCAGGGAAGAUCCACUGAAUUAGGAGUCAGCAGUCAUUAUUCUACUACCUGCUAAUCUUCUAUGAGCUUCGUCAAGUCAUUUAAGCUUGGUACCCGUCAGUUUCCUCAUCUGAAAACUGAGAAAAGUUGUUUCAAAUUGUCUAAGUCCAUUCCAGCUUGAUCAUACUAGCAUCUUAUGUGCAGCUUCUUAAAGUCCAGCUCACACCUCUGUCAACUCCCUGUAUAAUAUGACUUCCAAAAAAACACCUGUGGUUUGGUUAUACAUAUAUAUGGACAUAUAUAUGUUAUACAUAUAUAUUGGUUAUACCUAUAUAUGGACAUAUAUAGGUCCACUCUUCUCAUAUCCACAGCUGCUAUCAAUAUAAUAAAUGGGCAGUAUCUGUA
rnacentral:lncRNA from 10 species